ACGCACGUUGCAACCCCGGGCUUCUCUGAAAUUUAAAGGAAGUGAAAGCCCCAUUGCACGUGCUAAAUUGAUGCCAUUCGUGUUGCAGUUCAUCUCGUUAAUUCCACGAUUGAUCUGUGUCAAAGUAAUGGCUACAUCG
rnacentral:snoRNA from 14 species